rnacentral:rRNA from 1 species
GAUGAACGCUGGCGGCGUGCCUAAUACAUGCAAGUCGAGCGAACAGACGAGGAGCUUGCUCCUCUGACGUUAGCGGCGGACGGGUGAGUAACACGUGGAUAACCUACCUAUAAGACUGGGAUAACUUCGGGAAACCGGAGCUAAUACCGGAUAAUAUAUUGAACCGCAUGGUUCAAUAGUGAAAGACGGUUUUGCUGUCACUUAUAGAUGGAUCCGCGCCGCAUUAGCUAGUUGGUAAGGUAACGGCUUACCAAGGCGACGAUGCGUAGCCGACCUGAGAGGGUGAUCGGCCACACUGAAACUGAGACACGGUCCAGACUCCUAGGGGAGGCAGCAGUAGGGAAUCUUCCGCAAUGGGCGAAAGCUUGACGGAGCAACGCCGCGUGAGUGAUGAAGGUCUUCGGAUCGUAAAACUCUGUUAUUAGGAAAGAACAAAUGUGUAAGUAACUAUGCACGUCUGGACGGUACCUAAUCAGAAAGCCACGGCUAACUACGU